GUGGGGAUUCCGGUGUCGGGACGGCUUCUCAUUUGCGACGCGCGACAAUUUCCUCCCGUCUGAAAAGCCAGCGCCGCGAGUCAAUAGACUGGAAAUCGCACUUGGAAAAUGGGAUCAUCUUAACUAAAGCCGGCCUCUACCUUCCCCAGGAGUGCAGUACCUGCUUCGCCGCCCCCCUCCUUUUAAUAAUUUGCGAGCUGUCAGAGGCCUAAGCGGGUGAUUCAUCUUGUCUUUCACGGGCAACAGACGGCGAUGUCUAGACCGACCCGGGACCGGAAGCCGAUAAAUUAGAAUCUCUUUAUUGGAGAAGGAACAGCGAGCGGCUCCAAAGGCCGAUCCCUGUGAUAAGUGGCACGCGAGCACACGGACCCGCAGACACAAACGCACUUGUUCCGCGUCAGCUCUUCGUGCAGCUGAUUCCAUCUCCGUCUCUCAGAUCGAUAUCCCCAGGCAGGAAGGCGACAGAGCAGCUACUCUCCCCACGAAACGCAGAGAUGUUAUCAUAAAUGCUCAUCUUCAAAACCCAAUCAAACUAUCAGCUCCCGGGACUCAGUCAAUAACAACUGACAUUUCUAUGAAUCCUGAGAUUCGACCGGCCCUCCCGGUGCUUUAAUGCCACGGAAAGGGCAACCCGGCUUCUGGACCUUAACGACUCGCUGACCAAUUAGGAGUGAGCUGAAGGAAUAAAUUCCCAGGCAGACACAA